AACGAACGCUGGCGGCAGGCUUAACACAUGCAAGUCGAGCGCCCCGCAAGGGGAGCGGCAGACGGGUGAGUAACGCGUGGGAAUCUACCCAUCUCUACGGAAUAACGCAUGGAAACGUGUGCUAAUACCGUAUACGUCCUUCGGGAGAAAGAUUUAUCGGAGAUGGAUGAGCCCGCGUUGGAUUAGCUAGUUGGUGGGGUAAAGGCCUACCAAGGCGACGAUCCAUAGCUGGUCUGAGAGGAUGAUCAGCCACACUGGGACUGAGACACGGCCCAGACUCCUACGGGAGGCAGCAGUGGGGAAUAUUGGACAAUGGGCGCAAGCCUGAUCCAGCCAUGCUGCGUGAGUGAUGAGGGCCCUAGGGUUGUAAAGCUCUUUCACCGGUGAAGAUAAUGACGGUAACCGGAGAAGAAGCCCCGGCUAACUUCGUGCCAGCCGCCGCAGUAACAC
rnacentral:rRNA from 1 species